UACGUAGGGAGCGAGCGUUGUCCGGAUUCAUUGGGCGUAAAGAGCUCGUAGGCGGCUUGGUAAGUCGGAUGUGAAACCUCCAGGCUCAACCUGGAGUCGCCAUCCGAUACUGCCAUGGCUAGAGUCCGGUAGGGGCCCACGGAAUUCCUGGUGUAGCGGUGAAAUGCGUAGAUAUCAGGAGGAACACCUGCGGUGUAGACAGCUUUCUGGACCACUUCUGACGCUGAGACACGAAAGCGUGGGUAGCAAACAGG
rnacentral:rRNA from 1 species